CCAGCCCCUCUGGGACGUCACAAGCGCUCAGCUGCCUAGUGCGCGCGUGGCAGAAGAGAAGUUGGUGACUACCGAGCUCCGUCUCCGUUACUGACCGUUUUCUCGCCAUUGUAGCUUGCUCUCAAUGGGCAAUUUAUUAAGUAUAUUUCGCCCCCGGUCCCGCCGCAGGCCCCUGCCUGGCCGUGUCCCACGCGCUCCCAUAGCCCGGGAGGCGUCCCAGCCUGGCCCGGCUCCCCCUGUGGCGCCCACGCUUACCCCCGGCCCUUACCGAUUUCUCUUCAACGGUCAGCAGAGUCGGAAGCCUUCUCCAGGCAGCUUCUUCGGCGCCCCCAGGAGACCGCCAGACAUGGGCGCCCCCGUGGCGGUCCCGCCUGCUGUGGACUGCAGGCUCCUCUUAAGGAGGAGAACCGUGUUGUCGGCUCGCAACUCCUUGGUGUUGAGACACCCCAGCUCUGUGAGGAUCCCUCCUCCCAGCAGCACGUUCACCCUCCGACCACAGGAGGAGGUGGUCGGGGCUAGGAAGCGGAUCCCGAUCCCAGCCAGGCUCCCGAAUCAGACCAAGAUGCAGAAUUGGGUGUUCUUUGCCUGGGCUUUUGCCCUGCCCACACCCAGCAGGCGCACGGCUCAAAAAGUGGGAAAAGGAACGAAGGCAACCAAGGCAAAGGAGGCAGAACCUCCGCAGCCAGCAAAGAAGAGGCACUGUCUCCCAGCAGUAAAAAUUCACCAAGAGUCUAGCGAGAUGAAGAAAGAUGCCAGGAAGAAGAGAAACGCCAGGAAACAGAAGCCCACACAAUCAUGAGAAGAUGGGGCCUGCUGGCAGAGCUGGGGCUUGGCCGUGGUCACUCUGGAGCCUGCCCUUCCUGAGUGGUGGAAAGACAGCGAUAAUAUGAAGCCCACACAAGAAGCUCAAGCAGUAACAUAGCAAGAGGGAGGACAAUUCAAAGGGAAGAGGCCCAUGGUCUUCUUUCUCAUUGUAACUUCUACUGUCAGGGAAGCCCCUUAUUUAUAAGGAACAUAACUGUGUUUAUCUCCCAAGUUCUCACCCCCAGAUUAAAGUUUUCAGAAAGACUUAGGCCAUCAACAGUUAGAGGAGAAGUUGUACUAAUGUGUGAGGGAUGCAUUUUGGCCAUUAAUUUGCGGUCCAGUAUUUUGUUUAUGUUAAUGAUUCAGUCUCAGAAACCAUUACAAGUUUCUGGUAUCCCAACUACUCUUACCUGGGGAAAAGAGGAAGUUCUUUCAAUUGGAAAUUGUGUUCACCUGGCAUAAGGAAAAAGUUGGUAAAAUCUAAAGGAAUCCUGAGACUUAUUGAUAAAAUUGUGGUCAGUCCCUCUCUCCAGUCCCCUUAUGCCCACCAUAGCCCAUAGCUGCAGGGCAUCCCUCAGACGCCCCUUUAUCUAGUUCUGGUGACAAAAUGUGAUCAGCUCGCAGCAGAUACCACCUUAAAUGCUGAUGUCCCUCGAAGUCACUAGGGAGAAAUCAGGGCCUGGAAACCAGAUUCACUUUAAUGGACAUCAAAUAUUUUGAGAAAGUGAGAAACUCAAGAAUGACAGCUCACAGCUGGCAGCUAACCCAGAGGUUCCCAAGGAACAUCAGAGAUAUUCCCACAAUACAGAGAGGAAAGGUCAUGCCGUCCAUGUCUGAAAUAAGACAGUGACUAGGAGACUCAACAGCUAUACAUUCCUCUCUUCUCCUAACAAAAAUGACAACUGCUUCUCUACCAACGACUUCAUUUUAAUCUCCCUGGCUCCUAAAUAAAAAUUAUUAAGAUAACCAAUCAUUAGUUGCACCCACUUCCAGGCAAUAUCCAAUCCAGACCAGUCCUCUCUUCCUCAAACCCUCUUUAGACUGGCCAAGGACAAUUCCAUGGUUCCUUUGCAGUGCAAUUCCCCUGCCCAAUAAAUUGAACUUCUUUUUCUUACAGAUGUGCAUGUGAUUGUCUUUGUCUCAUGAGCUUUAACUCGCUGUGGGCAUGUGUUGCUUUGGAGCAGCCCAGCAUUGAGUUCCACUUCUGAAAAGUGCCUUGACAUCCCUUAAAGAGUUGGAUGCCAGUCUAGAAGGAUUCAUAUCUGGGCCUCUUCUAGUCCAAGGUCAGGCAUGUGCCUUAGCUUAAAAAGUAGACACCCUCCCCGGGAUUUGAAACCUGAGUGAGAGGCACAGCACCGGGUUUGGUGUCCAGGACAGACUGGCCGUGUUGCAACACCAGUGACGUGCUUCCUGCUUCCUGGUCCUCUAACCCUGCCCGGUCCUAGCCAAGGCCUCAACUUUCUCACUGAAACGGGAGAAGUUCCCUUAUCCUCGUCGCAGGGCAUGUGAUGGGGUAUGACUCGCUGUGUCCUUGCACUGUGGCUCAAACCUCUAGGGGGAGGCAUGCAGUCAGGCAGUCUGUGGGGCUCCUACCCAACGGCAGCAUCUAGCUGUGAAUGUUUACAGCUGAAGCCCCAGUGGGUGGAUGUUACAGUGUGCUCUUCCACUUUAUCCGUGGGUCCACAGGCAGCCUGCAUUAGAGCCCCUGCCUUAUCUUCCACCAUCCGCUGUUCAAUGCUGGUGUGUUCUUCCAUCAAUAUGUUCCUCUUGACAUCCAGCUGCUUGUGUGUGUGGCUACCGGGGUCUCAGUGAUUUUAUAGGCACAGGAUGGGGGUGUGGCAGGUCAAGGUGGUCUUGGGAAAUACAACAUUUGGGCACUGAAACAGAAAUGCCUGUCCUCACCUAGGUCCGUGGACAUAGGCCCAGGGGUGGAGCCCUCACCAGAGACCCUCCCAGCAUUUCCCUGCCCCUCUUCUCGUAUCACCAUCAAUGCAGUAACUCCUUUCACUUAAUUGAGCCAGGUUCGAUUUGUUCUUGCUUUUCAGUAGAAAGCGUGCAGAUGCACAGCUGUCAUCCAAACAGUGGUACUCACUCUCCACCUGAACGGAGGAGCUCAUUCUGCAUCAGGGUGGGUGAAAAUGCCUUGGAUUGAUCCACUCCCGGGGCUGGGGCAGGGACUCUCAGGCCCCUGGAAUGUUAUUUCCAUCAUUUUAUUAACCUGGAAAAUACGUCCUUUUAUUCUGAUUGUGUGGUCACCAGCAACCGCUGAUUUUUAAUAUGGGCUCUCAUGCACUCUGAUAAGAGGGUCCCUGAUGAUCAGGCACCAACUCCUUGUCACUGAGAAACAAGGGCUCCUGUUUGUCAACGAAUGCCUUGACAUUGAGCUUUAUCCCACAAGGGGGAGUUGGUUAACAGGAGGUGGUUACUCUGUGCAGAACAAUAUGUGUGUUCUGACAAAAUCAAAUCACCAGCUCUGCAAACCCACAGAUCUCACAGGCUGGGUUUGAGCCACUAAAGAAUGCUGCCUCCAUCACUGCUGGCUGCCCUCCAUGGCAUUCCUAUCUGUGACAACUGCCACCAGCUACGUCCGCUGGACGUCAACAUCCCAAACAGACACUAAGCUUUGUGCAGAGUCUUCGCUCAAAUGUUCUUUAUACUAGGGUGACUUGAUCCAAAGGGAUUUCAGGAUAAUACACGGAGAUCAGGAAAGAUUAUGCUAUGGUUCACUUCUUCCUUUUGUCAUGGUGACAAGCUCUGGUGCCCACCUAUGUCUGGACUGGGCCCUGCUGUCAUGUUUCAGGGUAGAAAGCAGGCUCUGUCUGUGCCUGGGAAUCCUCGAGUUAGUUCCCAGAGUCAAAGCACCUCCCAUUGCCUUUAGAACUGCUCAGAAUGUUCUUGGAAAUAUUUUACUUGUACUCAAGAGCAUUUGUUUUUGAAAUUGGGUCUGGUAUACUAGUUAAAGCACAGAGUGCCAGAGUGUGACACCUGACACCACCCGUCACUAGCUUGACCUUAGGCAACUUACCUCUCUGUGCCUCCCUUUCCCCAUCUGAAAAUAUAAAUAAUGGUAGGACCUACCUCACAGGGCUGCUGUCAUGUUUAAAUGCAUUAAUAGAUGUGAAUUCCCUAGGACAGGUACCUACAUUCCUUCAACUCAUUAAGAAUUAUGUGUUAGCUGUUAUUCUAUAAUUGCCCGAGAGUAAUAUGUGUAAGCCAUAGAUUUCUCAGGGUUUUCUGGCUUCUUUGAAAAUAAAGGGAAACUGUGGCAUUGGGAAAUUGGCACAGCAAUGGGCCUUGGUCUAAUGGGUUUAUAGGUGAAAAGAUUCUAUUUGAAAAGUUUCUCGAUUUCCAUACUGUAAAUGCUGUUUUGUUAGUUAACUGUUCCAUUUUGAAACUUGCAAUCCCCCUCUCUCCACAUAUAUAAACUGACAUGUGAACUCCACAAAGGCUGCCAUGUGUCAACCCUGUAUCUCCACUGCCUGAAAUGGUGCUUUGGGACACAGCACCUGCCCAGUAACAUCUGUACAUCUAAAUUAAAUUUAAAUACUGACCUUUCAUCUAAGUGAACACAAGAGGUUUUGAAGUGGUCAUUGGUCAACAUUAUCUGAGUUUUCACAAGACCUCAGUAUACUUGGCAAAGCAUUUCACAAGUGAUAGACAAGGCAUCCACUUUAAAAGCAAAAUUCACAGAGCAUUCUACUGGAUGGGGCUGCUCUAAAGAAUUCAUGCCUCUGUCUGGAAACUCGCAGUGUGGCGAUUCUUAAAUCAUGGAGUUCUCAUAAGCCAAAGGGAUUGAGUGCAUUUUUGAAAAAUGAACUCGAGGACACGGCCUGAGUUGAUGCAACCUGCUCUGCAGGACACUCCUACCCCCGGUGCCCUCACUAGAAAAGAGGCCCUUCAUGGCUUCUGAUGAUGGUGCUAGCUCCCAAAACCAGGCUUCCAGGCUCUCUGACCCCCAAAACAAGUAUUAGGAAUGACCAGGAAAUCACCCCAGGGGACUCGCACUGAAGCACAGAGGCCCAUCAAGUCCCCAAGCCCAGAUGCUGCCAUAUUCUGUACAUACCGGGUCAGGCAUGAAGAGGUCCACCCCUUGCCCUGUGGAGAGCGCCACCAGCGUUGUGCCACCCUCUAGGGCAUAAUCUGUGGCCACAUUGUUGUGGCCAGGCUGCAGGGUGUCCCUUUCAGAAGGCUUAUCCUCUGAGGUCUGUGGAAGAGAGGAGAGAAACAUCGUAUGUUAUUUUCUUAGGAGAGAACCCUUAGUCAGAGGCCUGGGAUUCAGAUAUCCUUGAACAACUGAAGGAAGUGCAGUUCUUAGAAUUUUAAGCUGCCACAAAUCUAUCCAGAGGAAAUGAGUUGCUAUGUUACUGACAAUUCUAGCUGAGUCAUGGCAAAGGCCAUUUUGGGACUUCUUCCUUCAUAUUUUCCAAACGCAUGUGUCUGCAGCCUGCCAAGAAAAGCACUCCCAGAUAAAAUCACAGCCCUUCUUCGUCAUAAGCCGCACUCCUAAGUCAGUAUAGUCACACCUCACGUAUCACUGAGCUGAGGGUGCAGCGUCUUAUUCUGCACACUCAACAUCCUCUGAAGUAUGUAGGACUGUCACCUCCGUGGCUCAGAGGGAGAACUCUGAGAACAAAACAAUCUGAAAUUAGCAAUCUGCAGCUGGAGCAGCUGCACAACUCACUCAGCAGCAGGAAGCCCUGACUCUGGCUUUCUCUCUGACUCUGUGGAUGCUCCUCAUUUGCUUCUCUUCCCCACAGCUCCUCUUCCUCUGGUUCUUUAAAUCUUGGUGUUCUUCCUAGUUUUUACUGUAGCCCUUGGUGCAUCCAGCCAGUGCAAAUGGUUCUUCCUCGCCUCCUUAUUCAAAAUUAGGACUCUUGGCUGCUAUGUUUAUAUUGAGUCAUGCCACCACCCACCACACACACACACACACACACACACACACACACACACACUCUCUCUCUUGAUGGUGUAGGAGAUAGAGUCCUGACCCAGAGUGACCCAAUCAGUCUAUCUCCUCCAGAAAGGUAGAAUUAGAGGACAUUCUGGUGAUGUAGAGUUAGAAGCCUUGUAAACCGGAAUGGUCUCACCCUCCAUGCUCUGACCUCAUGGUUUGGUCUUCCAGGUGCUUGAUGCAAUGAGCAUCAGCGGCUUCUUUGAAGUCCCCAACACAUUUUCAUUCAUGGGUUUAGUGUCUGACUUCCCAGCUAUACUGUAAGCAACCUGAGGGAGAUACCCACUCCGUCUUAUUCGUAACACAAUCUGGGCCAUGAUAGUUACAUUUAAUUAACACAUACGCACACACAGAUUCAUAUAUAUGUAAGUUUACACACACACACAUAAAUAUAUACAUGCAUACCUGUAGUGGUUUUCAGCAUAAGAAUCCUACACUUGAUUUUUAGAGUUAUACUAUUCAAUUUUUUUUUUUUUUGAGAUGGAGUCGCGCUUUGUCACUCAGGCUGAAGUGGAAUGGCACGAUCUCUACUCACUGCAACCUCUGUCCCCUGGGUUCAAGGAAUUCUCCUGCCUCAGCCUCUCAAGUAGCUGGGACUACAGGCAUGUGCCACCACAUCUGGCUAAUUUUGUAUGUUCAGUAGAGAUAAAGUUUCUCCAUGUUGGUCAGGCUGGUCUCAAACCCCUGAUCUCAGGUGAUCCACCUGCCUCAGCCUCCCAAAGUGCUGGGAUUACAGGCAUGAGUCACCUUGCUUGGCCCUCCAAUUUUUUUUUUAACUGAUUGUUAAUAGUACAUAUUUUAAAAUUUAAUUAUUAUUAUGAACGAGUUUAUUGCUAAUAUAUAGAAAUCCAGUUGGUUUUGUAUUUUGGUCUUGUAUCCUGUGACCUUGCUGAACUCACUCGUUCUAGGGAGUGUUUUGGGUUUUUGUUUGUGACUUCGUUGGGAUUUUCUACAUAGAUUAUCACCCCAUCUGCAAAGAAGGACAAUGUUACUGCUUUCCAAUCUGUUUCCUUUUCGUUAUUUUUCUUGCUUUAUUGUGCUGACUACAACUUCCAGGACUAAGUAUGCUGAGUAAAAGUGUGAGGGAGGAUAUCCUUGCCUUGCUCCUGUUCUUAGAGGAUAAGCAUUCACUUUUUCACCAUUAAAUAUAAUGCUAGCUAUAGAUUUUUGUAGAUGUACCUGAUAGAGUUGAGGGGAGCUCCUCCUCUAUUUCUUGUUUGCUAAGACUGUUUUUUUUUUUCAGAGACAGGGUUUUACUCUGUUGCUCAGCCUGGAAUGCAGUGUUGGGAACACGGCUCACUACACCCUCCAACUCCUAGGCUCAAGCUAUCCUCCCAUCUCAGCCUCCCAAGUAGCUGGGACCACAGGCAUGUACCACCAUCCAUCUCUCUGACUAAUUUGUUUUUUUUUUUUUUUUUGAGAUGGUGUCACAUUAUGUUGCCCAGGCCGGUCUCAAAUUUCUGGCCUCAAGUGGUCCUCCCACCUCAGCGAUUUUCUUUUUCAAGUCAUGAGUGAUUUUUGAAUUUGUUCAAGUGAUUUUUCUCCAUCAGUUGAUGUAAUUAUAUGAUUUUUCUUCUUUAGCCUGUCGAUAUGGUGAAUUACACUGACUGAUUUUGAAUACUGGACCAGCCUUCCAUUACCAGACUAAACUCCACUCAGUCACGGUGUAUAAUUUGUUUUAUGCGUUGUUGAAUUCUAGUUGCCAAUAUUUUGCUUAGGGAUUUUGCAUUUACUGAUUUUUUUAACCAUUGUUACCCAAACACCAGGGGUUUGGUCUAGGUCUUGCUGCUUAUGAGACAAAAAGGUAGUCACUGAGACAGCAAGUAUUGCAAAGGAAGAAGGCUUUAAUCAGGUGCUGCAGCCAAGAGGAUGGGAGCUCAGUUUCAAAUCCAUCUCCCCGACAGACUAAAACUAGGGGUUUAUAUAACAGAGAAGAAAUGUGACAAUGUGUAAGAAUAUAGGAACUAGAAAGUGGCAAGGAAGAGUCAUGAGGAGUGAGGGCUUCAGGUUUCUCAUUGUCAGGAUGGGGUGAUCUGGUGAGCUUCAGUUCUCUAUACUCUUUUUGUGAGGUCUGAAUGUCCUUUUCUGAGAAAAGAACUCAGAUAAAACAAAUGUAAGCUUCAAGCUUUAAGAACAAAAAGGUCGUUUUCUGUGUUUCUCCAAAAGAACCAUCUAUGAUAUUAUUGGGUCAGUUUUACUAUCACUGUCUGGUUUUUGCAUCAGGGUAAUGCUGGCUUUAUAAAAUGAACUGGAAAGGGUUCCUUUCUCUUCUUUUUUUCUGGAAGAGAUUGAAUAAACUUCGAACAUUUAGUAUAAUUUUCUCGUGAAACAUCUGGGCCUGGAGACUUCUUAUUUGAAUUCUGUUGUUUAAUGGUUGAGCCCUGAAACUAGCCUUUCACAUUAUCUAUUUGAUACUGGGUGAGUUAGAGUACUGUGCUUUUUGAGAAGUUGGUCCAUUUCAUCUGAGUUGUCAAAUUUAUGUGUGUAGAGUUGUUUGUAAUAUUCCCUUCAUAUCCUUUUGAUGGCUCCUAACUUUUUGAAAAACAAAACAACCUGAGAUUUACAAUCAGUGAUAAGAGGGUUAUUUUAAUUUAUCCUGACAAACACCAGAUAGUAUUGUCUUUCCCACUUCAUUAUUUGAUUGGUGGGGGAAAAUAUGACACCUCUUUUCUUUUAAUUUCUAUCGUUAUAAGUGAGGUAAAUUUUUUAUGUGUUUAUUGAUCAUUUUUAUUUUUGAACCUCCCAUGUUCAAGCAAUUCUCCUGCCUCUGCCUCUUGAGUAUCUAGGCCUACAGCACAUGCCAUCAUGCCUGGCUAAUUUUUUGUGUUUUUAGUAGAGAUGGGGUUUCACUGUGUUAGCCAGGAUAAUCUCUAUCUCUUGACCUCGUAAUCUGCCCAUCUCAGCCUCCCAUGAAGUGCUAGGAUUACAGGCGUGAGCCACUGUGCCUGGCCUUUACUUCCAGAAUUUAUUCAAACCCUUCAGGCCUAAGGACUAUUGUGGAAGAAAUGGGCAUGUGAGAUUGCAAGGGCUGGUCUUGAGGAAUCAAAUUAAUUCAGAGCCUCCAAAUCCAGGAGAAGUACACAGAUGGCUCAAUAGCUGAACAGCAUGCUUGUUUUGUACAGCUGAGUCCUACAAACCAAGCUCACAGUAGCUUAAUGUAUAGAUUUGUAGGUAAGUCAAUUUUGUAACCUUGCCUUUUGACUUUUGGUCUUUGGCUCUUACAUUGCUUAAAAGGAGUUUUAAAGUUAAUGAGUGCCUGCCCACUUUCAUUCCCAUCUAGCCGGGACCAUUUAAUUGGCUUUCAGUCUUUUGAUUCUAAGUCCCUGGGCCAUAGGGGUCCCACCAAAAGACAUUAUGGACCUGGGGCAGGCAGCCACAGCCUGGAUGUGGGAACAAAGUAAAAGCUUGGCCAUCAAUAUUGCUUCUGGCAUACCUUGACCAAAAAAAAAAAAAAAAAACACCAAGCCUUCAAGCCGACUGAAUGGACCCACCUCUUAGCCAAAGGAAAUCCCCACCCCAGAAACUGAAAAACUACACUUUGGGAGGCCGAGGCGGGUGGAUCACAAGGUCAAGAGAGAGAGAGACCAUCCUGGUCAACAUGGUGAAACCCCAUCUCUACUAAAAAUACAAAAAUUAGCUGGGCAUGGUGGUGCGCACCUGUAGUCUCAGCUACUCGGGAGGCUGAGGCAGGAGAAUUGCUUGAACCCAGGAGGCGGAGGUUGCAGUGAGCCGAGAUCUCGCCAUUGUACUCCAGCCUGUGUAACAAGAGCGAAACUCCGUCUCAAAAAAAAAAAAAAAGAAAAACUAGUUCAGGGCCUGAACUAAAUGCUAUGCUGUGGGGGAGGCGGGGACCCUUUUUAGUGCACCUGGGCACCUACCGCAAACCCACAUACCAUACCCACAUCAUCCUGCCCGCCGUGACUUGCUAGGCCUUCCCUCCAGGGAACCAGAGCUUCCUCUGCCGCAGGGCCAUCAGGGGAGGGUCCCGCAGGGCCGUGGAGACCCUCCAGACAGGAGGUCUCACUGUGGACACUGUUCUUAGAGAUGUGACUGCGCCACAUCCCUCAGUUUAAGUUUGUCAAGCCCUGCCCAGCUGCGUCUGGGCAUAGGAUGCCGGGUCCAGUUACUCCCUAAGAGCAUUUAUCUGCAUUUUCAAGACGAAGAAACAUUUUUUCCUACGUAUUGCCUUACGAAAGACCCAGACAAGCCGCUAUUGAAGAUGUCCGCAGCCUUCCGCAGUGCAAGCUGGGGCCCCUGAAAUGUGCCGCCCCCUCUGUGGAGUCCCUCCGUGAGCCGCGGGCCCCUCUGCCUUUCCCCAAGACGGCUGCCUCCGCGGUCCUCCUGGCCCUUCCUCAGGUCCCUCCGUGUCCCUCCUCAGGUUCCUGCGAACACCUCCUCGCUCUCCCGCUUUGAUGACUGAUGUUCAAUUUUUUUUUUUUUUUAGACAGAGUUUCGCUCUUGUUACCCAGGCUGGAGUGCAAUGGCACGAUCUCGGCUCACCGCAACCUCCACCUCCUGGGUUCAGGCAAUUCUCCUGCCUCAGCCUCCUGAGUAGCUGGGAUUACAGGCACGCGCCACCCUGCCCAGCUAAUUUUUUGUAUUUUUAGUAGAGACGGGGUUUCACCAUGUUGACCAGGAUGGUCUCGGUCUCUUGACCUCGUGAUCCACCCGCCUCAGCCUUCCAAAGUGCGGGAUUACAGGCUUGAGCCACCGCGCACGGCCAAAAUGAAAGGUUUUUAAUGAAUGGCUGCAAUCUGGAGUUUCUCUCCACAAGUGUUCUUACAUGUGCUGAUUCUAACUGGGGAUAGAAAAACAAGCCCUUGACUUCCUCCCCAACCCCCUGAUUUGUGCUUAUCUGUUGCUUUUCUCUGUACUUAUUUCCUCUGAUGGUUUUUAUAGCAACAAUGUUAAAAGGCUGAUUGGCUGGAGAAGUAUGGCAGAUUGAGUGAAUUUUAAUGGACAGAGUCAGUAACAAGACACUUUACAAGGCCGGGCGCGGUGACUCACGCCUGUAAUCCCAGCACUUUGGGAGGCUGAGGCGGGUGGAUCAUGAGGUCAAGAAAUCGAGACUAUCCUGGUCAACAUGGUAAAAAUCCGUCUCAACUAAAAACACAAAAAAUUAGCUGGGCAUGGUGGCUCGUGCCUGUAAUCCCAGCUACUCGGGAGGCUGAGGCAGGAAAAUUGCCUGAACCCAGGAGGCUGAGGUUGCGGUGAGCUGAGAUCGCACCAUCGCACUCCAGCCUGGGUAACCAGAGCAAAACUCCGUCUCAAAAAAAAAAAAAAAAAAAGAUAUCAAGGUAAACAAGAUGUAUCUAAGUUAAUAUAUGCUUUCAUCUUUUAAAAUUGGAUUUGGUUCAUGGGAGGGGCCAAAUAUUUCUUACUAGCCCUGAUGAUUAAGCUGAGAAACCUGGUUUCAGCCACACCCAUACACAAAGACCUGAUGUAAGGUAGCGCAGACUAGGCUGCCCACCGCUUUUAAAAUCAGGAGGAAGGGCGCAGUGAGAGAAAAGUAACUUUGUUUCCAAAGCUAGCAGCAGCGAAGCAGCUGGCUUACAUCUUAGCCCUCCAGAAACCACUUCAAUGGCACGAUCUCGGCUCACCGCAACCUCCGCCUCCUGGGUUCAAGCAAUUCUCCUGCCUCAGCUUCCCGAGUAGCUGGGAAGCCACCGCGCCUGGCCCGAUGUUCAAUUUUUUUUCUUAUGCUUGGCCAGUUGUUUGUUUUCUCUUGAAAAAUUUCGCCGGGCGCGGUGGCUCAAGCUUGUAAUCCCAGCACUUUGGGAGGCCAAGGCGGGUGUAUCACGAGGUCAAGAUAUCGAGACCAUCCUGGUCAACAUGGUGAAACCCCGUCUCUACUAAAAAUACAAAAAAUUAGCUAGGCAUGGUGGUGCGUGCCUAUAAUCCCAGCUACUCAGGAGGCUGAGGCAGGAGAAUUGCCUGAACCCAGGAGGCGGAGGUUGUGGUGAGCCGAGAUAACGCCAUUGCUCUCCAGCCUGGGUAAGGAGCGAAACUCUGUCUCAAAAAAAAAAAAAAAGAAAAGAAAAGAAAAAAAGAAACAAAGAUUUUUAUUCAUGUCCUUAGUCCACUUUUUAAUGGCAUGAUUUGGAAUGUUUUGUUGCAUUUAUUGUAAAUUCUGGUUAUUUGUCAUCUGUUGAAUACACAGUUUGCAAAUAUUUUCUCUCAUUUUACAGAUCGUCUGUUCACUCUAGUCAAUAUUUCUUUCUCUGUGCAGAAGCUUUUUAGUUUAAUUAGAUCUAAUUUGUCUAUUUUUGUUUUUGUUGUCUGUGCUUGUAAAGUGCUAGUCAUGAAUUCUUUGUCUAUAUCAAUGUCUAGAAGAGUUUUCUCUAGGUUUUCUUUAAGUAUUUUUGUAGUUUCAUAUCUUACAUUUAAAUCUUUAAUCCAUCUUGUGAUUUUUGUAUAUGGUGAGAGAUAGGGGUCCAGUUUCAUUCUUCUGCAUAUGGAUAUUCAAUUUUUCCAGCACCAUUUAUUAAAAAGGGUGUUCUUUUUCCAGCAUAUAUUGUUAUUGACUUUGUCAAAGAUCAGUUGGCUGUAGAUAUGUGGCUUUACUUCUGGGUUCUCUAUUCUGUUCACUGAUUUAUGUGUCUGUUUUUAUACGAGUGCCAUGUUGUUUUGGUUACUAUAGCCUUGUAGUAUAGUUUUAUGUCAGGCAAUGUGAUACGUCUGGCUUUGUUCUUUUUGCUUAGGGUUGCUUUGCCUAUUCUGAUUAUUUUAUGCUUUCAUAUGAAAUUUAGAAUUUUGUUUUCUAAUUCUGUGAAAAAUGAUGUUGGUAUUUUGACAGAGAUUGUAUUGAACCUGCAGAUUGCUUUGGGCAAUCUGGUCAUUUAAUGAUAUUAGUUCUUCCCAUCUGUGAGCACAGAAUGUUUUUCCAUUUGUUUGCGUCAUCUAGGAUAUAUUUCAUCAGUAUUUUAUAGUUUUUCCUGUGGAGAUUUUUCACCUCCAUGGUUAAAUAUAUUUCUAGGUAUUUUAUGUUUUUAGUUAUUGUAAAUGGGAUUGCCUUUUUGAUUUGGUCCUUGGCUAGAUUGUCAUUUGUUUUUAGAAGUGGCACUUAUUUCUGUACACUAAUUUUGUAACCUGAAACUUAACUGGAUUCAUUUAUCAAUUGUAAGAGUUUUUGGUGGAAACAUCAAGGUUUUCAAGAUAGAUUAUAUCAUAUGAAGGUCAUAUCAGCAGCACACAGGGAGAAUUCAAUUUCCUCUUUCCAGUUUGGAUAACUUUAUCUCAUUUGCCUGAUUGCUCUGGCAAGAACUACCAGUGUUUACAAGCUAUUGAAAUCGUUCCCAUUCUUUGACUUCUACCGAGCUUAUGACGUCUAGUAUGUGCAGUGCACUCACAGCUCAUCCUUACUUGCCGUGUUUCAGGCUGAGUUUCAGCCAGGGGAGGGGUUGCUACCUUCCUAGAUGGUCCAGCAGCCACGCUUCUUCCCCACCUUCCCUAAGUGGUUCCAUCAUUCCCUCCGUCAGAACCACCCUUGACCACCAGUGCUCCCUUGCUGCCACUGUCCUGCUCUGCUCUAUCUUCAGCCAGGGUGACCUGAACAAGUCUCUUCUUCCUGUCCCCCCUUUCUCCUUUUUUCUUCCCCUCUCCUGCACCCUCCGCCAUCUGUCUUCCACUCCAUGUUGCCUUCAGUAGAGUCCCCAGUCACCUCCUGGUAGCUUUUUUAAAUAAUUCCAAACUUUAAAAAAAAAUUUAUUUAUUGUACUUUGAGUUCCGGGGUACAUGUGCAGAUCUUGCAGGUUCGUUACAUAGGUAUACAUGUGCCAUGCUGGUGGUUUGCUGCAUUCAUUGCCCUGUCAUCCACAUUAGAUAUUUCUCUUAAUGCUAUCCCUCCCCAGUACCCCUAACCCCCUGCUAUUCCUCCCUUAGCCCCCCACCCUUCAGGCCCCGGUGUAUGAUGUUCCCCUCCCUGUGUCCAUGUGUUAUCAUUGUGAGAAUAUAUGGUGUCUUCCAAACUUUUUUAUGAUAAAACAAAGCAGAGAUGGGAAAAAAAGCACAUGAACAGGUAAAGCUUAGUGAAGUACAAUGAGACAAACACUCUUGAAUUCCACACAGGUCAAGAAAUAGAGCUUUAUAAAACCAUUUAAAAUAACCACAAAUAAAAUUAAAUAGCCAGAAAUUAACCAAAGAAGUGAAAGAUCUCUACAAUGAAAGCUAUAAAAAAACUGAUGAAAGACAUCGAAGAGGACACAAACAAAUGAAAAGACAUGCUAUGAUCAUGGAACCAAAAACCAAUAUUGUUAAAAUGAUCAUACUACCCAAAGCAAUCUACAGAUUCAAUGCAAUUCCUGUCGAAAUACCUAUGUUAAUUUGGUCACAUACACAUACGUUAGACAUUUCCCCCCCCCACACACAUACAUAAUUUAUACUUUUAUUGCCUUAAUUUGGAACUUUUUAUAUUGCGUCUUCCUUAAAAAUGAAUUUUAAAUAAAGUUAGUGUUGAUUAUUUUGAUUUUUACCUUUAAUAGUGUUUUCCCAUUGUAGUAAUGAAGUAUUCUCGAUUUAAUUAUGAAUUUACCUCGUCAGUAAGGUUUGAAGUUUCCUGUGUGUUCAUGGUAGUAGUUACUGUCCUUUUGGUCCUGAUUAAAGAACGACUUUACACUUUUCUUAGAAGGCUGAUACAGGAGUGAUGAAUUCCCUCAGCCUAUCCUUGCUUGGGAAAUAAUAAUUCUUUAUUUCUGAUGAAUAGUUUUGCUGUGUAUAAUCUUGAUUGGCAGAACUUUCUUUUCUUCAGCAACUUGAAUACAUUCUUCCAAUAUCACCCAGCCUGCAAGGUUUCUGCCAAGAAAUCUGUUCAGAAUCUAAUGGAGAUUCCCUUAUAGGGGACUUGACACUUUUGCUUCUUUUAGAAUUCUCUCUUUGUCUUUUGAUGAAUCCAUUAUAAUAUGCCUCAGAAAGAAACUGUUUGGGUUGAAUUUGUAUGGGAAACUUUAAACUUCACGGAUCUGUAUCUUCACAUCUUUUCCAAGAAUUAGACAUUUUUCGGCUAUUAUUUAGUUAAAUAAGUUUCUGUGUCUUUUCCCAUCUCUUCUUCCUUUGUAACUAACUCAUAUAACACCAAACCUUGUUCUCUUAAUGCUGUUGCGUAGGCCCCAUAGUCUUUCUUACUUUUUAAAACUCUUUUUUCUCUUUUUUUCCUUAGACUUCAUUAUUUCAAAAGACUUGUGUUCAACUUCAGAAAUUUAUUUUUCUGCUUGCAUUCACCGAAUUCUUCAGUUCCAAGAUUUCUAUUUGGUUCUCUUUAUGAUAGCUAUCUCUCUUUUAAAUUUCUCAAUCAGGUCUUAGAUCGUGUUUCUUACUUCAUUGAUUUCCCUGUGUAUAUUUUCUUGCAUCUUGCUAAGUGGUCUCAAGAUCAUUAUGUUGAGGCUGGGAGCGGUGGCUCACACCUGUAAUCCCAGCACAUUGGGAGGCCAAGGUGGGUGGAUCACCUGAGGUCAGGAGUUUGAGACUAGCCUGACCAACAUGGAGAGACCCCAUUUCUACUAAAAAUACCAAAAAUUAGCCAGGCGUGGUGGUGUAUGUUUGUAAUCCCAGCUACUUGGGAGGCUGAGGCAGGAGAAUCGCUUCAACCUGCGGGGGUAGAGCUUGCAGUGAGCCUAGAUUGCUCCAUAGCAUGCCAGCCUAGGCAACAAGAGUGAAACUCCAUCAAAAAAAAAAAAUUACUAUUUUGAGGUUUUUUUUUUCCAGGGAAUUCAUAAAUUUCCAUUUAUUUGGUGCAAGUUUCUGAGAACUUAUUCUGCAUCUUUUGUGAUGUCAUGUUUCCCGUGUCCCUGUUUGAAAUCUGUGCAACUAGUGAAAUGUCCCUUUUGCAAGAUGAAGUGAUGAAAUGAGACCUUUGCAAGGCCACCAAAAGUUUCCUUGACUUCUAACAGCCUUUUGGGCAAGUAAGAGCCUGACUUCUUCAUGGAAAAACCUGGUGAGAUUGAUUCAAUACUGAGGAGGCUACUGCUUUUCUCAUAGAUCUGAGAACAGUUUUCACAUUUCAGAUAAACUGUUCUGGGUGUUGGUGCAUCUUAGUCUUAGGAUAUGUAGGUACUUUAAAUCAUCUACAAGAAAUAUGGAGCCAGGUUGUUUUGGUAAGUAUUCCUUUGAGAGGGCCUGGACACAAACUGUGGUGACACCAUCCUGUGAGCCCUGGAGUUGGGUCUCUGUGCUUCCCUCUUGGUUUGACUCUGGUUUCAGGGAAAUGCUUCAUAGUAGGAGACAGUGAGAGGUGGCUUCGUGGGCAUGUUUUUAUCCUAUUGCUCUGGGAAAAAGAGGGUAGAGUAGACAAACAGGGAGAUGGUGGGUGAUGAGGAGUUGUCAAGGGCAAGACAAACCAUUUUGAUUACAUCAUUACCUCGUUACAGGAGAAAGAAUUUGACUAUUGUCAGUGUAAAAAAAAUUAAGAAACCAUUAUUUGAAGCUAAAUUUUACUUUCCCCAUUUCUGAAAAAGAUUUUUCUCAUGAUUUAUUUCUAACUCAAAUUUUCCAGCACCGUAAUAACUUUAGUCGGUUGAUCUAUCAUGUGAGCUAUUAACAAACAACAAGAAAGAGUGAAAUCCUAAAGAAGCCUCAACAUGAAAUAUUUCUGCAAGGCACAAAGAAAUUCACAUUCUUGUACGAGGGAGCUGCAGCAUUGUCUAGACCUCUCAUGGGCACAAAGACACCAACCCUGAUAUUUCAGUUAACUAUGAAACCAAACACUGAACUGCCAUUCCACCAUUAUGCCUCGUCUUUUUAUUUUAUUUUUUUCUGAGAUGGAGUCUAACACUGUCACCCAGGCUAGAGUGCAGCGGUGCAAUCUUGGCUCACUGCAACUUCUGCCUCCCGGUUUCAAGUGAUUCUCCUGCCUCAGCCUCCUGAGUAGCUGGGAUUACAGGUGCCUGCCACCAUGCCCAGCAGUUUUUAUUUUUUUUGAAUGGAGUUUUGCUCUUUUUGCCCAGACUGGAGUGCAAUAACAUGAUCUUGGUUCACUUCAACCUCUGCCUUUUGGGUUCAAGUGAUUCUCCUGCCUCAGCCUCCCGAAUAGCUGGGAUUACAGGCAUGCACCACCAUGUCCAGCUAAUGUUGUAUUUUCAGUAAAGACGCAGUUUCACCAUGUUGGCCAUGCUAGUCUUGAACUCCUGGCCUCAGGUGAACCUCCUGCCUCAGCCUCCCAAAGUGCUGGGAUUACAGGUGUGAGCCACCGCACCUGGCCCACCUCCAAUCUUUAGGUCUUAAAGAGAGAUAGUAUUCAUUUAUUCUACAAAUAUUUAUUUAGGACCUACUAUUUAUUAGGUAAGUAGUGAGUACAAUAGCUGACUGGAAGACACAAAUAAUAACUAAGUAAACAAAGUGUAAUGAAAGCUGCUGAUUUAGGAAUUAAAUAGUUUCAGAUUCAAAUCACAAUCUGUUUCUUAACUCCCAUGUAACAUUGGGAAAGACACUUAAACUUGGAGACCCUCCAUUUCUAUAGUUGUAAAAGAAGAAUUAAAAAUGCCUGGCUCUGUGGUUGUCGUGAGGAAUAAAGGGGUAAGUUAAGUAGUAUUCAGCAUGCUGGCUCCAGUGUAAUACUACUGUUAUUUCUCUUCAAAAUGUUUUGGAACCUAAGCAUGUGCUUAAAUCAUUGAAACACCCUUGUUAGGGUCUUAUCUUAAGAUGGAUCAGUGAAGAUAUAGAUAAAAUUGCCAGAAAACACAGGAAAGUAACAGACCAUGUUUCAAGUCCUUGAAGCCUAAGAAGGGCUGGUCACCUGAGGUUUUAGGACAAAGCAGAGAUGGACAGAUUAGGGACACAGUGCCAUAAACAUGACCUGGAGCCAUGUCAAUAUGCUGCCUCUGCAGUGCUCUCUUCUGCGGUUUGAUGCAGAGUUAAAGAACUCCUGGGCCCUUGGGAUUUUUUAGUCAAAUGAGCAUCAAUCGCCAUUGCUCUUUUUCCUGUUUUUCCUGGGUUGCUCAACCCCACGUAUGUGAGAUAAACUAAAAUAGGUCAUGGUGGGUAAAAUCUCUGCUUAAAAUGAAAUCUUGCCAGACUGCAGCACAUCUGGGAAGCUUCUGUUCUUUCUCUUCUUGUAAAUAUUCUCAGAAACACAACAAACACAUCAAAAACCACUUUCUUCACUUCUAGUGGACUGACCAUUUAUUGUAUUUUCCCGGAAACUGGAUUUGGAGCUGACAUGAGUGAACACUGGACUUCAAAUGUGAGUAACUGAAAGGUAGCCUUGGAGCAGUGCCGACGAUCAGUAGCUGACCCUGCUUUUGUCAGUCAUGAAGAAUGUUUCCUUCUCUAGAUAGAGGAAUAGAAACCGAUGUGUCCAACCCAAGUUUACCUGAACAGUCACUGGGAUACUCAUCACACCAUCAUGUCCCAUCUAAUCCCUUUUGUUACCUUCAAAUAUAGUCCCAUUUCCUCAGGACCAGAACUCCCUUAUGUGGGAAGCAGGACCAUCCUUGAGUUACUCCUCAUUGGCUGGGAUACAUGCCAAUAUUUCAGCAAAGCAUGAAUCUGAUAAAAUUUGCCUGAACUGGUUCCUGGUUUCAGAAUGAGCUACCACCACCCAGGGCCUCUAUUUAGGGCAACCUGGUAGAGUCAGGAGCUGAAAGCUGUCUUGUACUGUUACACUGAUAAUAAUAUCAAAGUAUUUAGUAAAUAUGAGUGACAUUGAUUCUCCUAUCAGUAAAUCAUAGUCACAUCUAAAGGUGACUGAUUUUCACUGUCUUAAGUUAUUUCUGACUUUCUGGCAACCCUCAGCUUCUGUGUCUUCUUUUCUCUUUUGAAUUCUGUCCUUUCUCCUGAGUUGGGAGGUUGUCUGGACAGUGUCCCUUUCAUCUGUGUUGCUCCUCUCCCCACCAAACCACUUGUAUUUGUUCCCUCUGUUCAUAUAGGACAUUUCCCCCAGGACACUGUGGCCAGACUGACCAGGCAUCUUCACCUCUGCCACUUCCCUUUCCUCUGAAUGUUAAUCUGUGUUUUCGUAAACCUGUGAACUUUGAGUGAAUGCUGCAUACAAAGAGCUUCUCAAAAUUGGGCCUCAUGUUCUAAACGGGACCUAGAGUUGGGAUUCCAGGGAAGGCCAGCUGGCUCCCAUAUCUAGAAGCACCUUGCUGUGUAAGACAUUGUCUACGGAAUAUCAAGGUCACCUGGGACCUUGAAAACAUUCAGAAAAAGAUUACUACAUCUGAAUUUCUGAAGACAGUUUUAGUAGGGAUGAAUUCAAUGUAAUCCAUGGAUUGUUCAUUACUUUGUAGAAAGGUUAAGUUAAUUAACGUUUCUUUUAGCCCUUUGGGAUAGGACCUCUGAAUCAAUAAGAGGCAUAAAUGAGAGAUGUCAGGGAGGACUGAAGGAUGCUGAUGGAGGUGGGAACGCUUGAAGUGACCCGCUUGUGCUGGACUAAAAGUGAUUCGGGCUCCACCCAAAUGCAGGAGGAGUGAGUAUUCCAGUGACUGCUUUUGGGUAAAUGUGGGCUGGCAUGUGGGUUUGGGUUCCUCUAUCUAGAAAGGAAAUGCUCCUCAUGACUGACAAAAGCAGGAAUAGGUUUUAUCAACAGCUCUACUCCAAGGCUCUCCAGUUACUGGAGUGAUCUCUAGAAGACAGCAUCAUCAGAAGCUUCAUUAGCAACUAACUCGCUUCUGUGGUGCUGUGUUGUUGCUAAUAGUUUUAGUUACAGCAACUGCACCAGGGAACCUGAUCCAAAAAAGGUACAAACCCUAGCCUGUGCUCCUAAGGAGAUUAUGGGAAAUGAAACCACCACAACUGGCCUCUCUUUGGGAGGAAACUGGAAAUGGCAAGAGGGACCGCUCAUGGGCCGGACCCCAACACUUGGGUCAUGACUCACCCUGGACGGGUCACGUGUGGGCCGCACUGCUUCAGGCCUGAUUGUGGAUCACGCCCUGGAUUCUUCUCCUCCAGGUGCAGUUCAGUUGCCAUGAUGCCCCUUGAGUCAAUGAGCUCUUUGGACUGCUCCUCUGCUCAAGCAGAAGAUGAUCUGCACAUCACUUUUGAGAAGCUGACAAGAACCACUGGCUUCUUUAGGCAGGUGGUGGAACAUGGGUGUAUCCUGCAAGGGCCCAUAGUAUUGUCCUUGCCUCAGGUGACAGAGGCUUGGAGUUUUUCAGCUCUCGACCUAAAAUUCCUGAAUGAUUGUUUUCAAAUUUCUUCACAAAUAUUAGGAUGAACUUGCCACCCCUGUCAGGGGGAAUGGGGUUCCUGAGAGCUGAGGGGCAGAGUUCAGAUCCUGAUCCUCUUCACUUUGUAGAGCAAAGGCGGUAACUCUCUUUCUCUGUCUCUCUCUAUAUCUCUCUCUCUCCCUCCCCAGCUUCCCUUUAAGGAAAUCCCCAGGAUUAGGUGAGAUCUCAGAUCUAAUGGAGAAUCUGAGCUGUUCCAAGGAACACCUGGGGAUCCCGCAAUCUGAAAAGGUAGAACCAAGGCAAAGGCAGGCGGAAAUACCCAGAAGCUGGGUACUGAGCAUGUUAGGGGGAAUUUUUUUCGGGGGAGGGAAGUCAAUAAUGAGGUGUAGACAGCAGCGAGAAUGAGAAGCCAAAUUGUAGACUGCAAAAUCAAACAGCAUCUGCCCUUUCUCCCUUGUCAGGGAGAGUAUGAUAGGAAGUCUCCAAUAUAGAAAGCCUGCUGUGUCCUUCACUUUCCCCCACAGUCUCAGAACAGGCUUGAUUCUGAAAUGUCUGUUAUCUUUAGGCUCUGGCCUGAUUUUCUGGAUCAUAAGGCCAAGGGGAGCUGGAAAGUUCCCCAGGGCAGGACUCCUGGUGGAGAGAGAAUGGUCUGGAGGAUUCAGGCCUCUGCACACUGUGUCUGGGUCCCUCCUAAAAGAUUGAUAAAGACAAGUAAAGAGCUUGAAGCAGCCUGGAGUCCAGUCAGAAACCUUUGACAGCCUUAAAGGAGAUGGUCACAACGCUUUUCAGAAUAUUGGCAAAGGCCUCCUGCGGCCAGGUCCCUGGACAAAAACACUGCAUCACGUUACAACAGCAAAGAAGUGGACCCAUUCCUCUACCCUGUCAAUCACCCUAAAUAUCAGCAACUUCCACACCUCUGCAAAACUGAAUGGUUUGAGAUAGAAAGAGAUCUUGUUUGGCCUCACAUCUCCUGGGCCAUGAGAGGGCUCAGCUUCUGCUCCUCAUGUGCAUCUCCUGUGCUCAUGUCUGGAAACAAGGCAGGGCAGUAGCUGGACUCAAUGGAAGGAACGUGGCUUCCCCUCCUCAGUCCUUGACUCAGAAGAUUUCAUCACAUCACAGGAGGAGCCAUGAGACGUCAGUGUCAUGUAAGACAGAGGUGGAAAAUGGAAAUGCUGUGGGGGGCCUGCAAGAAAGUGCCCAUAAAUGCUGAUGGGGUCUGGAGAGGCAGUGAGGACUUUCCUAACUAAAAAGUGCACUCUUUACCUAAUGGAAUUUACAUUUAAAAACUUGGUAACAUUGGUGCAGAACAAAAAUCACCUGUCUAUGGGACAGAUUUGGCCACCAGCUACACCGUUGAUCUAACACAGUGGAGUCACAUGGCCCAGAGAAAUACAUUUAAGUAUCAGAAUUUUGCUUCUUUUUUUUCCCUUCACCAAGUUUAAUCUAAUGGUAAUAUUUCACAUAACUACAGCUUAAUCUCAAGAACCAGGAAAUUGUCAUUGUUACAAUCCAUAAGCCUUUUUUAGAUUUUACCAUUUCCACAUGUAUUUGUGUGUAUGUAUAAUUAUACGCAAUUUUAUCAUGUGUAGAUUGGUAUAGCCACUUUAACAGUCUAUAGUUCUUUAUACAGAACUACUCCAUCACCUCAGGGCUCCCUAUGUUACCACUUUAUAGCUUCAUGCACCCUUCCAGCAACCACUAAUCUGUUCUGCAUCUCUGUAAUUUUGCCAUUUUGAGAAUGUUAUAUAAGUGGAAUCAUACAGAAUGUAACUUUGGCUUUUUCUUUUACCAUAAUUCCUUUGAGAGUCAUCCAAAUUGUUACAUGCAUUAGUAGUUCAUUUCUUUUUGCUAUUGAGUACUAGUCCAUAGAAUGGCUGAGCCACACAAUUUGUUUAACCAUUUACUUGUUGAAGGACAUACCAGAAGGGUGGUUUCCAGUUUUUUGGCUAUUACAAAUAAAGCUGCUAUAAACAUUCAAGUAUAUACAUGUUUUUAUGUGAAUAUAAAGUUUUCAUUUUGGGGGAAUAAAUGUCCAAAUGUUUGGAUCAUCUGGUAAGCGCAUUUUUGUUUUUCUUUAAAGAUGGGGUUUCACCAUGUUGGUCAGGCUGGUCUUGAACUCCUGACCUCAGGUGAUCCAUCCACCUUGGCCUCCAAAGUGCUAGGAUUACAGGUGUGAGCCACCAAGCCUGGCCACAUUUUUGGUGUUUAGACAAACUGCUGAACUAUUUAUUUUGUAGAAUGACUAUAUCCUCUUAUAUUCCCAUCAACAAUGUAUGAGUUAUCCAGUUUCUCUGCAUCCUUUGCUAGCAUUUAGUGUCAGCACUUUUUUAUCUGACCGAUUCUAAUAUGUGUAGUGAUAACCUGUUGUGCCUAAUCAUAUUAACGAAUAAAAAUAGCCUUAUCUAAUUUUAACUUUUUUUUUUAAGAAAUUUUUUUUUUUUUUUGGAAAAAAGAGAAAAAAAGAAAAAGAAAGAGAGAAAGAAAGGAAGAAAAAAAAGAAUGAAAGAGAGAAAGAAAGAGGAAGAGAAAGAGGGAGAGAGAACGGGAGUCUUGCUUUAUUGCCCAGGCUAGAAUGCAGUCUAAAAAUGGAUAAUUGAAAACUUCUUUUAUGCCAAUAAUUGUGCUUAACAAUGGAGACAGGAAGGACUUUGGGAGGCCGAGGAAGGCAGGUCAUCUGAGUUCAGGAGUUCAAGACCAGCCUGGCCAACAUGGUGAAACCCUGUCUCUAGUAAAAACACAAAAAUUAGCUGGGUGUGGUGGCACAUGCCUAUAAUCCCAGCUACUCAGGAGGCUGAGGCAGGAGAAUUGCUUGAACCCGGGAGGUUGCAGUGAGCUGAUAUCGCACCACUGCCCUCCAGCCUGUGCGACAGAGUGAGACUCUACCUCAAAAAAAAAAAAAAAAGCAUUUAGAUCUUGUGACCAGCUAUAUAGAUACACGCUUAAUUAUUUGUUCCUUGUCUUCCCCAACAGGAUGUGAGUUCCCUGGACCACAGGGUUUUUCUUGUUGUUGCUGUUUACCAGUUCUGUUUGCCAGCUGUUACCCUGAUCACUGGUAUAGAGUAGGUGCUCAGUAAACAUGGUUUGUAUAGAAGAAGGAAGGAGUGAGAAAAAAAGGUAAAAUGCUUAGCACAGGGCCUCGUACCAAAGAAUGCACAACGAUCAGUAGGAAUGACAGUGACUUAGGUGACUGAUAAAGGCUCAGCCCUUGGGAGCUCCCCAUGGCUGGGUGUGCAGGAGACUGGCAGGCAGAACUAAUGGCAGGCAACACCUGACCUGUGUGACCUGCACAGGAAGUUGCGGGUUGCAGGGCCAGAGACCCUGCAGCUGCUGAGAGGCGAAGCUGAGCAAGGCCUUUUUUUUUUGAGAUGGAAUCUCGCUGUUGCCAGGCUGGAGUGCAGUGGUAUGAUCUCGGCUCACUGCAACCUCCACCUCCUGGGUUCAAGCGAUUCUCCUGCCUCAGCCUCCCAAGUAGCUAUCACUACAGGUGUGUGCCACCACACCCAGCUAAUUUUUUUUUAAUUUUAAUUUUUAGUAGAGACGGAGCUUCACCAUGUUGGUCGGGCUGGUCUCAAACUCCUGAUCUCAGGUAAUCCACCCGCCUUGGCCUUCCAAAGUGCUUGGAUUACAGGUGUGACUCACCACAUCUGGCCUAUUUUUAUUUUUUAUUUUCUGAGACAGGGUCUUGCUCUGCUGCCCAGGCUGGAAUGCAGUGGUGCAAUUAUAGCUCACUGCAGCUUCAAUGUCCAGUGCUCAAGCAAUCCUCCUGCCUCAGCCUCCCAAGUAGCUGGGACCACAGGUAAAUGCCACCAUGCCCAGCUAAUUUUCUAAUUUUUUUUUUUUUUUUGUAGAGACA